AGAGCUAUCAAAAUAAGACUUUUGUUUUUAUUUGUCUUUUCAGAGCACAGGUGGCUUCUUGCCAUCAGUGUCAUGAUGCGUCAAGGUGUUUUUGGUAUUGCCCUCCACUCACCAUCGCCUGCGGACCAUCGCCAUGACGCUGCGAAAAUAACCUCUGUCCCAGCCAAUCAGAGGAGCAUGUGCAGAACACAAGCUGGCCUGGCAAAGCCACUCCAUCUGUAAUCUACCGCAGACCCAGCUAGCCGAAGGCUCGCUGAAGUCUCUCAGCGUAUUUAGUGUGUGUGCUGUGAUUGGAGACCACUGUGGAAUAACAACUGCGAAAACCACAAAAUACGCCUGUGGGCCGUCCUAUACUGCCCCAUCCCCGAUGCACCGAGAUCCAUGGUCUGCAAAACACCUUCAUCCCCUGAAUGGGGGAUGAAGUGGAGAAUGCACAUUUUUUUCUGUUGAUGUAAAUAUUCAUUUUGACAGUGAUCCUGACCAGAUCUGUGCAAACUCACUCCGUAGUCAGUCUGGCUUGUCCUCCGAAAUGUCAUGACAUCACAACUGGAGUUAUCACAGCUGUCAUCUGCGAAUCUUCCAUAAUGUAUGUUGAACGUGAUUUGUGAAGGGAUCCCAGUUCUGGUUCUGAAGUGUGGCAGUCUGUGACAACCCAACCACAGGUUUAUCUUUUCAUAUUAUUAUUAUUAUUAUUAUUAUUAUUAUUAUUAUUAUUAUUAUUAUUAUUGGGAAAAUACGGAACAAACAAACUUCCACCCUGUUUUCAGCAAACAUGUCAGGUUGGUUGAACAAGCAGUAAGGUAUGCGUUUUCAAGAGUCUCCAAAACGAUUGAAAAAGUAGAUUUACAGCUGCCCGUUCCUGUUACUGCAUGAGAAUGGAGGCACUGAAAGUGUACCUGCUCCUGUUGCAUGAUGGGAAUUGGGGGUUCCCAGCAUGCCGCAGGAAUGGCAGGGGAAGCCUGCCAUGCAGUGUCUCCUCUAACCUCAACAUCUGGCAUAACCACAGGCCCAGAGUCAGUGUUUCUCCACAUUACACACCUGGGUUCAAUUACCAUUUGCCCUUACCUUUGGCUUAAAAUGCAUGUGUUAAGUCCAGCGAUUAAACAGAAUGAACUGUGAAGAAGGAAAAAAAAAAAAAAAGCUAAGGUGCAUUUAUGUGUAUUGUAAGCCAAAGUUGAGGACAUGUGCCUAUAGAACCCUGGCUACAGUUAUCAAAUUGUAUAAAAAAGUUAUUUACCCCCGAGAAGUAACUUCAUACCGGGAACAGUUGAUGAAAUGUCCUGAGUUACAGGGAAUGGUCAUACAAAUAUGCAACAGUGUACUGUAGAGUACAUUACAGGAAGAAGGCCAAGAGAUUAUUUUAGCCCCCCUAACAGAAUUUAGCUUAAGCCGGUACCAAGAACGCCAUGGUGAUGGAACAGGGCCUUCCUAGGCUUCUGGGCUUGAAUUCGUCCUGUUGCACACAGUGCUGCGUUAGCUUAAUUAGUAUUAACUUAUCAGACACGGUUUCAGUCUCUGAGGGAUUUGUCUGCGUUCUCCUUUGGCUAAUAAAUAAAGAAAUAAACAAAUUUGCAUGGCCUGUGAUGACCAUAUUUUACAAUACAAUGAUUCUAAUAUGCUUAAACAUUAUUCGUACCUUACAUUUUUUCAUCGAUUUUUUCCCUUGUGUCUUCCCUUGUUUGUCCUUUUGCACUAGAAAAACAAAAGCAGAUCAGCACAUUUUGCCUCUCUCUCUCUCUCUCAUGCAUCAUUCUGUUUUUUUAAGGUUCUACAGUGUCACACUUUUAAUUGUUUUCUGUUUCCUAAUCCAAAUCUUUUUAUUGUAUUGAAAUUCUAGCAUUCAUGAGAUCUUUUAUAUCUUAACUACCAUCACGCCCCCCCAACACACACACACCAAAAAAAGUAGCCUUUAGUAAUUCUUAAAAACACACUGAGAAAAACACUCAGAUUUGAUUGUCUGUAGGAUGAAGCAUCCAGUCUCCAGUCUAAUUUUCUGCAGCUGGGAUAAAUAUCCACCCCCUCAACAAUGGCCCACCCCCUUUUUUAUGAUGUCACAUCCUGUCAGACAGCAUGUGGUUUUAAGAUUCAUUUUCUUUUUGGAGAAAGGAAUGAAUGUCCCCUGGGUCUCUGAACUGAAAAAUGGAUCUGCACAAAAAAAGAGCAAUUACACCACUGUAGAUAACAUCACUGCAGUCCCUAUUUUAAAUAUGUAGGCUAUAAGGUAAUAAUAUAGUAGUAUGUAUAUGUAUAUACCACCAGCCUGCAGACCACCAGCUGAUCAGCAUGAGCCAAUCCCAGCCAAGGACAGCCCAUUCCACGCAGCCGCUCCUGUGCAGUUAAGUAAAGAAUCCCUCUCGUCCCCAUAGCAAUGCUACGGCCAGUCACGCAAGACCUUGUGGAACUCCCCACCUCAGUCAUUACAGGAUAUGACUGAUGUUCACUUUUUGUGUGUGUGUGUGUGUGUGUGUGCGCAAAAUGUUCACUUCCAAGUGGCACAGGUCACAGUGUUGAAUUUGUACCGUCGUUGUUUUGUCUCCCCCCUCCCCGUUCAUAGAUUUAGUUGUUUAGUCCACUGUGAGAUGGGGGUAUGAG